AAAAACCCUAGGGAGGAAAAACUAAGGAAAAUUUGUUGAAUUUUCAAGAAAUUGGUGACUAAAGGUAAGAUUUUUAAUAUUAAGCUUGAAAUUCAUCUUGCCCAUGCAUUCUUUUCCAUUUUCCAUGAAUUAAAUUCAAGUUUUCAUGAGGGGCAAUAUGCUGGCCAGAUUUAGAGAGAGAAAGUUGGUGAUGAAUUUAGUUGAAUUUCAAGGUAACUUAGUGUUUUUAGGUGUUUAGUAACAUUUAGUAUGAAAAUUAAGCAAGAAAUCCACAUGCCCAUUAUAGAACCUAUCUUGGCUGAAUUUUAUGGGUGAGGAUUGAUGAUGAAUUUGGUUGUUUUUCAUGCCAUUUAGAUGUAUUUGGUGCUUAGGAAUACCGAAAAUCGAAAACGGGUACCGAAAAAUUUUACUCGCGUUAGUUAGCAAUUUGCACCAUAAUGAGGGAUAUUUUGGUAAUUGCACUUAGAAUAGAUUUUUAUUGAAGUGUGUGGAAUUUUGGGGAGUACUGGAAGUGCAAUAAAUUAAUUGGAAUCGAAUUGGACGUUUAGACCGAUUAAAUAGUGUAUAGUGCGCGAUAGGCCGAACACCUCCCAUUUCAUUGCAUGCAUUCAUAUAGAACAUAGAAUAGUUUUGUGACGAUUUAGCAUAAGUAUAUUAAAUUUCCUGUUACACAUUAUGUAUAGGUGGUGAGCCCUCGGAUAAGGGCAAAGGUAUUGCACCCGAGGAUCAAGACUAGGAGUGUUGUAAAUUCCCGUCAAAGUGAGUAACCACUGUUCAUCUUAUCUAUCUAGAGUAUUUUUACAAUCGUUUUUAUGAUUUUAAGAAUAUUGAACCUAAAUGAAUUUUAUGUUUUAUGACUAAUAAUCGAUUUAAGGAAUAAGGUUUAUGACUUAUUUUACAAUUCAAUAAUAUUUUUGAAAAUGUGAGUAUGUGGAGACCAACCUUUGAUGUUGCCUAUAUAUUUAAGUUUACGUACCUACGUUUGGAAUUGAUGAUUUAUGAACUGAUACGUGAUGACAUAUAUGGCUGGGUUUUUGGGUUGUGAAAUAUAUAAACUGUUUGUUUUCCUUUGACAGGUUGGGUAGUAUUAUGUUAGCCACGUUAUGCUGUCAAAAUUUUAUUGAUUGGUGGGUUAUUUAAUUAGUCAUUGCAGUAGGCGAGUUUCCAUGGACCAGCCUAUUAGAGGGGCACGGUAAACCCCGUUAUAUUUACCUUAGUAGGAAAGGCGCGAAGGAUAUCUCCUAAGGUAUGAUAGAGUUCACUUCACGCCGAGCCACCACUUGAAGAUGAACUCUGCCAACGCCAAG
rnacentral:lncRNA from 1 species